AGUGAACGCUGGCGGUAGGCCUAACACAUGCAAGUCGAACGGCAGCACAGUAAGAGCUUGCUCUUACGGGUGGCGAGUGACGGACGGGUGAGGAAUACAUCGGAAUCUACUUUUUCGUGGGGGAUAACGUAGGGAAACUUACGCUAAUACCGCAUACGACCUACGGGUGAAAGCAGAGGAUCUUCGGACCUUGCGCGAUUGAAUGAGCCGAUGUCGGAUUAGCUAGUUGGCGGGGUAAAGGCCCACCAAGGCGACGAUCCGUAGCUGGUCUGAGAGGAUGAUCAGCCACACUGGAACUGAGACACGGUCCAGACUCCUACGGGAGGCAGCAGUGGGGAAUAUUGGACAAUGGGCGCAAGCCUGAUCCAGCCAUACCGCGUGAGUGAAGAAGGCCUUCGGGUUGUAAAGCCCUUUUGUUGGGAAAGAAAAGCAGCAGGUUAAUACCCCGCUGUUCUGACGGUACCCAAAGAAUAAGCACCGGCUAACUUCGUG
rnacentral:rRNA from 1 species